rnacentral:rRNA from 1 species
UACAGAGGUCCCAAGCGUUGUUCGGAUUCACUGGGCGUAAAGGGUGCGUAGGUGGUUGGGUAAGUCUGAUGUGAAAUCUCCGGGCUCAACCCGGAAAUGGCAUUGGAUACUAUUCGGCUAGAGGAGUGGAGGGGGGACUGGAAUACUUGGUGUAGCAGUGAAAUGCGUAGAUAUCAAGUGGAACACCAGUGGCGAAGGCGGGUCUCUGGACAGUUCCUGACGCUGAGGCACGAAGGCCAGGGGAGCAAACGGG